AUUGAACGCUGGCGGCAGGCCUAACACAUGCAGGUCGAGCGGAUGAAGGGAGCUUGCUCCUGGAUUCAGCGGCGGACGGGUGAGUAAUGCCUAGGAAUCUGCCUGGUAGUGGGGGAUAACGUCCGGAAACGGGCGCUAAUACCGCAUACGUCCUGAGGGAGAAAGUGGGGGAUCCUCGGACCUCACGCUAUCAGAUGAGCCUAGGUCGGAUUAGCUAGUUGGUGGGGUAAAGGCCUACCAAGGCGACGAUCCGUAACUGGUCUGAGAGGAUGAUCAGUCACACUGGAACUGAGACACGGUCCAGACUCCUACGGGAGGCAGCAGUGGGGAAUAUUGGACAAUGGGCGAAAGCCUGAUCCAGCCAUGCCGCGUGUGUGAAGAAGGUCUUCGGAUUGUAAAGCACCUUAAGUUGGGAGGAAGGGCAGUAAGUUAAUACCUUGCUGUUUUGACGGUACCAACAGAAUAAGCACCGGCUAACUUCGUG
rnacentral:rRNA from 1 species